rnacentral:rRNA from 1 species
CCAACAGGGAUUGCCUCAGUAACGGCGAGUGAAGCGGCAACAGCUCAAAUUUGUAAUCUGGCUCCUUCGGAGUCCGAGUUGUAAUUUGUAGAGGAUGUUUCGGGUGCGGCGCCGGUCGAAGUCCCUUGGAACAGGGUGUCACAGAGGGUGAGAAUCCCGUACGUGGCCGGCAACCAGGCCCAUGUGAAACUCCUUCGACGAGUCGAGUUGUUUGGGAAUGCAGCUCAAAAUGGGUGGUAAAUUUCAUCUAAAGCUAAAUACCGGCCAGAGACCGAUAGCGCACAAGUAGAGUGAUCGAAAGAUGAAAAGCACUUUGGAAAGAGAGUUAAAAAGUACGUGAAAUUGUUGAAAGGGAAGCGCUUGCGACCAGACCUGCCCGUGGGUGCUCAGCGGUGGUUCUCCGCCGUGCACUCGCCCACGAUCAGGCCAGCAUCAGUUCUGGCGACCGGAUAAAGGCCCGAGGAAUGUAGCUCCCCUCGGGGAGUGUUAUAGCCUCGGGUGUCAUACGGCCAGCUGGGACUGAGGACCGCGCUUCGGCAAGGAUGCUGGCAUAAUGGUCGUAAGCGACCCGUCUUGAAACACGGACCAAGGAGUCUAACAUCUAUGCAAGUGUUUGGGUGUCAAACCCAUGCGCGCAAUGAAAGUGAACGAUGGUCAGAGCCCUUUGGGUGCAUGAUCGACCGAUCUUGAAGUUUACGGAUGGAUUUGAGUAUGAGCAUAGCUGUUGGGACCCGAAAGAUGGUGAACUAUGCCUGAAUAGGGUGAAGCCAGAGGAAACUCUGGUGGAGGCUCGCAGCGGUUCUGACGUGCAAAUCGAUCGUCAAAUUUGGGUAUAGGGGCGAAAGACUAAUCGAACCAUUUGAAAACAAGCUACUAGGUGGUUAAUUGGGGUCUGCGGACCGUCAGCCUUUCGAGGCGACAAUGCUAAAUGCAUGGUGUUGAUUCAACAUGCAGCGGGCGCCUCGUCGCCCGUACACUGACCAAACAGCAUUGGCCGCGUGGGCGUUGCGCCCCCGGUUUCGACAUGGCCGAGUCCCUCCUGGCGGAGGGUAUGAACG